GGGUUGUGAGGUUAAGCGACUAAGCGUACACGGUGGAUGCCCUGGCAGUCAGAGGCGAUGAAGGACGUGCUAAUCUGCGAUAAGCGCCGGUAAGGUGAUAUGAACCGUUAUAACCGGCGAUUUCCGAAUGGGGAAACCCAGUGUGACUCGUCACACUAUCAUUAACUGAAUCCAUAGGUUAAUGAGGCGAACCGGGGGAACUGAAACAUCUAAGUACCCCGAGGAAAAGAAAUCAACCGAGAUUCCCCCAGUAGCGGCGAGCGAACGGGGAGGAGCCCAGAGCCUGAAUCAGCAUGUGUGUUAGUGGAAGCGUCUGGAAAGGCGCGCGAUACAGGGUGACAGCCCCGUACACAAAAGCGCAUGUGCUGUGAGCUCGAUGAGUAGGGCGGGACACGUGGUAUCCUGUCUGAAUAUGGGGGGACCAUCCUCCAAGGCUAAAUACUCCUGACUGACCGAUAGUGAACCAGUACCGUGAGGGAAAGGCGAAAAGAACCCCGGCGAGGGGAGUGAAAAAGAACCUGAAACCGUGUACGUACAAGCAGUGGGAGCNNGGGCGUUAAGUUGCAGGGUAUAGACCCGAAACCCGGUGAUCUAGCCAUGGGCAGGUUGAAGGUUGGGUAACACUAACUGGAGGACCGAACCGACUAAUGUUGAAAAAUUAGCGGAUGACCUGUGGCUGGGGGUGAAAGGCCAAUCAAACCGGGAGAUAGCUGGUUCUCCCCGAAAGCUAUUUAGGUAGCGCCUCGUGAAUUCAUCUCCGGGGGUAGAGCACUGUUUCGGCUAGGGGGCCAUCCCGGCUUACCAACCCGAUGCAAACUGCGAAUACCGGAGAAUGUUAUCACGGGAGACACACGGCGGGUGCUAACGUCCGUCGUGAAGAGGGAAACAACCCAGACCGCCAGCUAAGGUCCCAAAGUCAUGGUUAAGUGGGAAACGAUGUGGGAAGGCCCAGACAGCCAGGAUGUUGGCUUAGAAGCAGCCAUCAUUUAAAGAAAGCGUAAUAGCUCACUGGUCGAGUCGGCCUGCGCGGAAGAUGUAACGGGGCUAAACCAUGCACCGAAGCUGCGGCAGCGACACUGUGUGUUGUUGGGUAGGGGAGCGUUCUGUAAGCCUGUGAAGGUGUGUCGUGAGGCAUGCUGGAGGUAUCAGAAGUGCGAAUGCUGACAUAAGUAACGAUAAAGCGGGUGAAAAGCCCGCUCGCCGGAAGACCAAGGGUUCCUGUCCAACGUUAAUCGGGGCAGGGUGAGUCGACCCCUAAGGCGAGGCCGAAAGGCGUAGUCGAUGGGAAACGGGUUAAUAUUCCCGUACUUGGUGUUACUGCGAAGGGGGGACGGAGAAGGCUAUGUUGGCCGGGCGACGGUUGUCCCGGUUUAAGCGUGUAGGUGUGUGUUCCAGGUAAAUCCGGUUCACUUUAACACUGAGGCGUGACGACGAGGCACUACGGUGCUGAAGCAACAAAUGCCCUGCUUCCAGGAAAAGCCUCUAAGCAUCAGGUAACAUCAAAUCGUACCCCAAACCGACACAGGUGGUCAGGUAGAGAAUACCAAGGCGCUUGAGAGAACUCGGGUGAAGGAACUAGGCAAAAUGGUGCCGUAACUUCGGGAGAAGGCACGCUGACAUGUAGGUGAAGUGAUUUACUCAUGGAGCUGAAGUCAGUCGAAGAUACCAGCUGGCUGCAACUGUUUAUUAAAAACACAGCACUGUGCAAACACGAAAGUGGACGUAUACGGUGUGACGCCUGCCCGGUGCCGGAAGGUUAAUUGAUGGGGUCAGCGCAAGCGAAGCUCCUGAUCGAAGCCCCGGUAAACGGCGGCCGUAACUAUAACGGUCCUAAGGUAGCGAAAUUCCUUGUCGGGUAAGUUCCGACCUGCACGAAUGGCGUAAUGAUGGCCAGGCUGUCUCCACCCGAGACUCAGUGAAAUUGAACUCGCUGUGAAGAUGCAGUGUACCCGCGGCAAGACGGAAAGACCCCGUGAACCUUUACUAUAGCUUGACACUGAACAUUGAGCCUUGAUGUGUAGGAUAGGUGGGAGGCUUUGAAGUGUGGACGCCAGUCUGCAUGGAGCCGACCUUGAAAUACCACCCUUUAAUGUUUGAUGUUCUAACGUGGACCCGUUAUCCGGGUUGCGGACAGUGUCUGGUGGGUAGUUUGACUGGGGCGGUCUCCUCCUAAAGAGUAACGGAGGAGCACGAAGGUUGGCUAAUCCUGGUCGGACAUCAGGAGGUUAGUGCAAUGGCAUAAGCCAGCUUGACUGCGAGCGUGACGGCGCGAGCAGGUGCGAAAGCAGGUCAUAGUGAUCCGGUGGUUCUGAAUGGAAGGGCCAUCGCUCAACGGAUAAAAGGUACUCCGGGGAUAACAGGCUGAUACCGCCCAAGAGUUCAUAUCGACGGCGGUGUUUGGCACCUCGAUGUCGGCUCAUCACAUCCUGGGGCUGAAGUAGGUCCCAAGGGUAUGGCUGUUCGCCAUUUAAAGUGGUACGCGAGCUGGGUUUAGAACGUCGUGAGACAGUUCGGUCCCUAUCUGCCGUGGGCGCUGGAGAACUGAGGGGGGCUGCUCCUAGUACGAGAGGACCGGAGUGGACGCAUCACUGGUGUUCGGGUUGUCAUGCCAAUGGCACUGCCCGGUAGCUAAAUGCGGAAGAGAUAAGUGCUGAAAGCAUCUAAGCACGAAACUUGCCCCGAGAUGAGUUCUCCCUGAGACUUAGAGUCUCCUGAAGGAACGUUGAAGACGACGACGUUGAUAGGCCGGGUGUGUAAGCGCAGCGAUGCGUUGAGCUAACCGG
rnacentral:rRNA from 1 species